rnacentral:rRNA from 1 species
UACGUAGGGUGCGAGCGUUAAUCGGAAUUACUGGGCGUAAAGCGUGCGCAGGCGGUUCGUCAAGUCUGAUGUGAAAGCCCCGGGCUCAACCUGGGAAUGGCAUUGGAAACUAGCGGGCUUGAGUGUGGCAGAGGGGGGUGGAAUUCCACGUGCAGCAGUGAAAUGCGUAGAGAUGUGGAGGAACACCGAUGGCGAAGGCAGCCCCCUGGGCUAACACUGACGCUCAUGCACGAAAGCGUGGGGAGCAAACAGG